UAUUGUAACAGAGUGUCCAGUACUGGGUAAGACCACUGAUAUUUCCAGGACCAGCAAGGAGACAAUUUCCUGGUCAGUUCAAGAUUGAUCUUUCUGUGUCCUGCAGCCAAAGUUGGCAGUGUCUUCGGUAAUAGGGUCCUAACAUUUAGUUAUGGUGGGGAAGCAAGGCCUGUCUCAUUUUGAAUGCCUCCAGGACCACCCUAAAGAAGAAGGUGUCUGAGAAGCCUCCCUCAAUGCUUUACCAAAGUCAAGCAUGCGUGCCCCUCCCCCUGCCACAUCCCCGGAGCUGUGAAUAGGAAGUUUAUCCUGGAGGCUUGGUGCUCUGAGCAAACAUGGAUCAGUAGAUGAUGAGACUGCUCUGGAUGGAGGUGAAGCCUGCUCAGGACUUUGCCUUGCUGUCUCUCCUCCUUCAUGGUCUUUUUCCCACCAACACAAGCCUCCCCAUAACUGAGCUCUCUGUAAACAUCCAGUCACCCAAUGUGAUCUCCAUACCCUUGACCUUAUGGAGCUCCUCCAGUAGGUAGCCAGCCUCCUCCUGGAUCCGCUCCUCAAUGCUCCGCUUCCCCAUCCCAAAGUUUCGAAGGACGGUCAGGGAAAAACGCCGAAGAAUCUUCCAUCGUUCUCCAUUGGACAGAGCUAAACCUGCCAGGAGAAGUGAUGAGUUUCUGUGUGACCUCAGCUGUGCCAUCUGUGACCUUCAUCACUAUAAGAAGAAAUGAGCACACUAACCUUCUGGAAGGACUGAAAUGUGGCAUCAGUGCGGACUUGUAAGAAGUUUCCCAAAAACGGUAUUGGUGUGGGGCCGGGGGGCAGCUUUCCUCCCUUACUGGUCCUCUUCCAAGCAAUCAGGAUGAGCAGGCAAGACAAACAAAGUGCCAUAAAGAUGCUGAAGGCUCCUCCCAGCAUCAUGGUGCUAAGUUGAGGGCUUGUGCCUUGGGAUCCAGAGCUUGCCUAAAUAGCUUCUAGGAGAUCAGCUUAUAUUGAAAUGUGAAUCCUGUGGGAGUCAAAUUAUCCCACCAGUAUUAUGCCAUCAAUAAACAAAUUGCUUGGUAGGUGUGGAGUUACGUAAUAUCUCACCUGCGCAGAGGUAUAUUGAUUUCAUGCAGGAAAACCCUAUCUCCUUUCUUCAUAGUUCAACUUUCCCACCUGCCCCUCAGCUUCAUAGUCUUUGUGGCAUCUGUUUAUAGGUUAUCUUCAUAAAGUAUAGACUUUCUGAUAUUAUCCUGCUGUGUGAACUUUCCUCUCUUAGACUUUUGUUUUUUGCCUUAGGAGGAAUGCCUCCACCUGCCCAAAGAAUGCCAGGGGUAAGAUGUUUCAUUCUUGAGUUUAGCAAGUCCAAGGACAUUAUGCAAACAGCACCCACUCAGCCCUGAGACUUCUCUCUUUCUGAACAGCUUUGAUAAAAGUGGUGAGGAUUACUUUGUGUAUUUGUCAUUUUUACUCUGUUCCAGCUUUGAACCCUUAGCUCUCUUGGAGUAAAGCAUCAGAGAACCUAGGUGGACUCUGAACUGGUAAUUGUCUGAAGUCCUCUGGUUCUGUUGAAUCUCUAUUUCAACUUCAAUUCCUUGGUACUGCUCAUUAGAUCAUUGAAAAACCACCAAACAUUGGUGAUUUGUCACACCCACUCCAGAAGUGACUUUGUGAUGGGCCCUAAAGCUUGUAUGCAGUCCCGAGGCAAAAAGUUUCAUGAAAACUUAGUC